UAGAGUUUGAUCCUGGCUCAGGACGAACGCUGGCGGCGUGCUUAACACAUGCAAGUCGAACGGUAAGGCCCUUUCGGGGGUACACGAGUGGCGAACGGGUGAGUAACACGUGGGUGAUCUGCCCUGCACUUUGGGAUAAGCCUGGGAAACUGGGUCUAAUACCGAAUACACCUUGCUGGUCGCAUGGCCUGGUGGGGGAAAGCUUUUGCGGUGUGGGAUGGGCCCGCGGCCUAUCAGCUUGUUGGUGGGGUGAUGGCCUACCAAGGCGACGACGGGUAGCCGGCCUGAGAGGGUGACCGGCCACACUGGGACUGAGAUACGGCCCAGACUCCUACGGGAGGCAGCAGUGGGGAAUAUUGCACAAUGGGCGCAAGCCUGAUGCAGCGACGCCGCGUGAGGGAUGACGGCCUUCGGGUUGUAAACCUCUUUCAGCACAGACGAAGCGCAAGUGACGGUAUGUGCAGAAGAAGGACCGGCCAACUACGUGCCAGCAGCCGCG
rnacentral:rRNA from 1 species